rnacentral:rRNA from 1 species
GUAGGUGGCAAGCGUUGUCCGGGAAUUAUUGGGGCGUAAAGCGCGCGCAGGCGGUUCUUUAAGUCUGAUGUGAAAGCCCACGGGCUCAACCGUGGAGGGUCAUUGGAAACUGGAGAACUUGAGUACAGAAGAGGAAAGCGGAAUUCCACGUGUAGCGGUGAAAUGCGUAGAGAUGUGGAGGAACACCAGUGGCGAAGGCGGCUUUCUGGUCUGUAACUGACGCUGAGGCGCGAAAGCGUGGGGAGCAAACAGGGUUAGAUACCCUGGUAGUCCACGCCGUAAACGAUGAGUGCUAAGUGUUAGGGGGUUUCCGCCCCUUAGUGCUGCAGCUAACGCAUUAAGCACUCCGCCUGGGGAGUACGGCCGCAAAGGCUGA